GAUGAACGCUGGCGGCGUGCCUAAUACAGGCAAGUCGAGCGAACGGACGAGAGGCUGCCUUCUCGGUGGUUGGCGGGGGACGGGUGGGAAACACGUGGAUAACCUCCCUUUAAGACGGGGUUAACUUCGGGAACCCGAGCCUAUUCCGGGUAAAUAUUUUGAACCCCAGGGUUCAAAAUGAAAGACGGGUCUUCCGGUCCCUAUUAAUGGGUUCCGCGCUGCAUUAGCUAGUUGGUAAGGUAACGGCUUACCAAGGCAACGAUGCAUAGCCGACCUGAGAGGGUGAUCGGCCACACUGGAACUGAGACACGGUCCAGACUCCUACGGGAGGCAGCAGUAGGGAAUCUUCCGCAAUGGGCGAAAGCCUGACGGAGCAACGCCGCGUGAGUGAUGAAGGUCUUCGGAUCGUAAAACUCUGUUAUUAGGGAAGAACAUAUGUGUAAGUAACUGUGCACAUCUUGACGGUACCUAAUCAGAAAGCCACGGCUAACUACGUG
rnacentral:rRNA from 1 species